UGAAGGUGAAUCGUAAGGUUUGCUGGAGGUAUCAGAAGUGCGAAUGCUGACAUGAGUAACGACAAAGGGGGUGAAAAACCUCCUCGCCGGAAGACCAAGGGUUCCUGUCCAACGUUAAUCGGGGCAGGGUGAGUCGACCCCUAAGGUGAGGCCGAAAGGCGUAAUCGAUGGGAAACGGGUUAAUAUUCCCGUACUUCUGACUAUUGCGAUGGGGGGACGGAGAAGGCUAGGUGGGCCAGGCGACGGUUGUCCUGGUUCAAGUGCGUAGGCUUGAGAGUUAGGUAAAUCCGGCUCUCUCUAAGGCUGAGACACGACGUCGAGCUACUACGGUAGUGAAGUCAUUGAUGCCAUGCUUCCAGGAAAAGCCUCUAAGCUUCAGAUAGUCAGGAAUCGUACCCCAAACCGACACAGGUGGUCGGGUAGAGAAUACCAAGGCGCUUGAGAGAACUCGGGUGAAGGAACUAGGCAAAAUGGUACCGUAACUUCGGGAGAAGGUACGCUCUUGAUGGUGAAGUCCCUCGCGGAUGGAGCUGACGAGAGUCGCAGAUACCAGGUGGCUGCAACUGUUUAUUAAAAACACAGCACUGUGCAAAAUCGCAAGAUGACGUAUACGGUGUGACGCCUGCCCGGUGCCGGAAGGUUAAUUGAUGGGGUUAGCGCAAGCGAAGCUCUUGAUCGAAGCCCCGGUAAACGGCGGCCGUAACUAUAACGGUCCUAAGGUAGCGAAAUUCCUUGUCGGGUAAGUUCCGACCUGCACGAAUGGCGUAAUGAUGGCCACGCUGUCUCCACCCGAGACUCAGUGAAAUUGAAAUCGCUGUGAAGAUGCAGUGUACCCGCGGCUAGACGGAAAGACCCCGUGAACCUUUACUACAGCUUGGCACUGAACAUUGAACCUACAUGUGUAGGAUAGGUGGGAGGCUAUGAAGACGUGACGCCAGUUGCGUUGGAGCCGUCCUUGAAAUACCACCCUUGUAUGUUUGAUGUUCUAACUUAGACCCAUUAUCUGGGUUGAGGACAGUGCCUGGUGGGUAGUUUGACUGGGGCGGUCUCCUCCCAAAGAGUAACGGAGGAGCACGAAGGUGGGCUAAUCACGGUUGGACAUCGUGAGGUUAGUGCAAUGGCAUAAGCCCGCUUAACUGCGAGAAUGACGGUUCGAGCAGGUGCGAAAGCAGGUCAUAGUGAUCCGGUGGUUCUGUAUGGAAGGGCCAUCGCUCAACGGAUAAAAGGUACUCCGGGGAUAACAGGCUGAUACCGCCCAAGAGUUCAUAUCGACGGCGGUGUUUGGCACCUCGAUGUCGGCUCAUCACAUCCUGGGGCUGAAGUCGGUCCCAAGGGUAUGGCUGUUCGCCAUUUAAAGUGGUACGCGAGCUGGGUUUAGAACGUCGUGAGACAGUUCGGUCCCUAUCUGCCGUGGGCGUUGGAAGAUUGAAGGGGGCUGCUCCUAGUACGAGAGGACCGGAGUGGACGAACCUCUGGUGUUCGGGUUGUGUCGCCAGACGCAUUGCCCGGUAGCUAAGUUCGGAAUUGAUAAGCGCUGAAAGCAUCUAAGCGCGAAGCGAGCCCUGAGAUGAGUCUUCCCUGACAGUUUAACUGUCCUAAAGGGUUGUUCGAGACUAGAACGUUGAUAGGCAGGGUGUGUAAGCGUUGUGAGGCGUUGAGCUAACCUGUACUAAUUGCCCGUGAGGCUUAACCAU
rnacentral:rRNA from 1 species